rnacentral:rRNA from 1 species
CGGGCUGAGUAACGCGUAGGAACGUACCCCAUAGUGAGGGAUAAGCACCGGAAACGGUGUCUAAUACCGCAUAAUCUCUUCGGAGCAAAGCCUUGUGCGCUUUGGGAGCGGCCUGCGUAUGAUUAGUUUGUUGGUGAGGUAAUGGCUCACCAAGACUACGAUCAUUAGCUGGUCUGAGAGGAUGAUCAGCCAGACUGGGACUGAGACACGGCCCAG